CCCGUCGUUACUCGGUGGCGUGGGGUGGCAAGUUGGCUUGUGUAGCCACUUCUCCGACGAGUGUGUUUUAAUUAAGUCAGCUUGAGUGGUCCAUAUUCACUGGCAAGGCUGUUGUAGCGAGCUCUGACGCUGGGUGCUCGGUGGGAAUCAGCUGGAGCCGUAGCCAAGCCUCUCAUAAGCUCAAUUUAUGACCUGCGGUCCCAGAGAGGGGAUUCAUCGCCACUUGUCGUGUUGGAAGUGGACUACAGCCAAGUGCCUCCACGCCUUGGAAAGGCUGCUGUUCUGUUGUGCUGUGGAUUUGUGGAUGACGGAUUGAACGGCGUGCCUAGUUUGGUUGGGGACUAUUUGUAGUUUAACGCAUGGGGCUACGCAGUGGUGUACUGCCCUCUCUAUAGCUCUACCUGCAUGCCUACGUCUGGUUGUUGUUUUCUUUGAUUUGGCGGCUAUACGGUGUGUUGUCCCGUCCUUUUGCUUGAGUUGCAUGUUUAUUCUGUGUUGUUUUCUUUGAUUUGGUGCCUAUCGCCGGCUAUACCUGGUGUGUUGUCUUGUCUUUUGUUUAACCUGCAUGUUUAUUUUGUUUGUUGUUUUCUUUGAUUUGGUGUAUGCGGUUAUACAGUGCUGUACUGUUUCUCCCUAUGCUUGACUCGCAUGCUUUUCUAACUGUUGGCCUAUUGGUAUCUUUGAGGUGUGUGUGUGUGUGUGUGUGUGUUUGUGUAUGCGUACUGUAACUUAAAUUACUGUGACCAGGGCGGCUUCACUGUCAGGAUCAACCUCUGGGCCCUGGUGGACAGCCUGACUGCCUCCCCUCCCCCUGCCUGAGAUAAGUAGCCUUGUUAGCCUAGUUUGAUAAAUAGGCUAUUGGUGAAUGCCAUAUAAUUACUGUCAAGCCUUUUACCAACUCUUGUGUCUCUGUUCCUCCUCUCUCGCUCUCGCUCUCUCUCGCUCUCUCUCUCUUCCGGACAGGUGUGGUGGGUUUCCCACAGGCGGCAGGCCAACCUUCAGGUGGCGGAGUUCCCCCCUCACUUUUCUCUGCUGUGUACAACGGGUGCUUUAUUCUGAAUUGCAGUGUAAUUGCAGUGUCAUUAUCCUUCAUGUGUGGUGCGUGUCUUCUGGGUCCCUCCUUUUCCCCCUUUUUGGAAGUCCUGCUCGCUGUGGUAAGCCCCCUGCCCUGCUCCACUCCCUUUGAUUACGGGUCACAGGUUAAGCUAUGGCGUAACAGUGUGGUUGCCAUCAUUAACCAUCCAGUAGAUCUGACCCAGGUGUCUCCUGUAUUUACACCUGAUGCAUUGUUUUUAUGGUUGAAUCUGUGUUGUAUGUAUCAAUAAAUCAUGUUAACUUAA